rnacentral:rRNA from 1 species
CGUAAAGAGCUCGUAGGUGGUUUGUCGCGUUGUUCGUGAAAUCUCACGGCUUAACUGUGAGCGUGCGGGCGAUACGGGCAGACUUGAGUACUGCAGGGGAGACUGGAAUUCCUGGUGUAGCGGUGGAAUGCGCAGAUAUCAGGAGGAACACCGGCGGCGAGGGCGGGUCUCUGGGCAGUAACUGACGCUGAGGAGCGAAAGCGUGGGGAGCGAACAGGAUUAGAUACCCUGGUAGUCCACGCCGUAAACGGUGGGUACUAGGUGUGGGUUUCCUUCCUUGGGAUCCGUGCCGUAGCUAACGCAUUAAGUACCCCGCCUGGGGAGUACGGCCGCAAGGCUAAAACUCAAAGAAAUUGACGGGGGCCCGCACAAGCGGCGGAGCAUGUGGAUUAAUUCGAUGCAACGCGAAGAACCUUACCUGGGUUUGACAUGCACAGGACGCCGGCAGAGAUGUCGGUUCCCUUGUGGCCUGUGUGCAGGUGGUGCAUGGCUGUCGUCAGCUCGUGUCGUGAGAUGUUGGGUUAAGUCCCGCAACGAGCGCAACCCUUGUCUCAUGUUGCCAGCGGGUAAUGCCGGGGACUCGUGAGAGACUGCCGGGGUCAACUCGGAGGAAGGUGGGGAUGACGUCAAGUCAUCAUGCCCCUUAUGUCCAGGGCUUCACACAUGCUACAAUGGCCGGUACAAAGGGCUGCGAUGCCGCGAGGUUAAGCGAAUCCUUUUAAAGCCGGUCUCAGUUCGGAUCGGGGUCUGCAACUCGACCCCGUGAAGUCGGAGUCGCUAGUAAU